rnacentral:rRNA from 1 species
CCUACGGGAGGCAGCAGUAAGGAAUAUUGGUCAAUGGGCGCAAGCCUGAACCAGCCAUGCCGCGUGCAGGAAGACGGCCCUAUGGGUUGUAAACUGCUUUUGAACAAGAGAAAACCUCGGUACGUGUACCGAGCUGAUAGUAUUGUUAGAAUAAGCAUCGGCUAACUUCGUGCCAGCAGCCGCGGUAAGACGAAGGAUGCAAGCGUUAUCCGGAUUCAUUGGGUUUAAAGGGUGCGUAGGCGGCCUGAUAAGUCAGUGGUGAAAUCUCUCAGCUUAACUGAGAAACUGCCAUUGAUACUGUCGGGCUUGAGUACAGAUGAUGUGGGCGGAAUAUGACAUGUAGUGGUGAAAUACUUAGAUAUGUCAUAGAACACCGAUUGCGAAGGCAGCUCACAAAACUGUAACUGACGCUGAGGCACGAAAGUGCGGGGAUCAAACAGGAUUAGAUACCCUGGUAGUCCGCACCGUAAACGAUGAUUACUCGUUGUUGGCAAUAUGACCGUCAGCGACCAAGCGAAAGCGAUAAGUAAUCCACCUGGGGAGUACGCCGGCAACGGUGAAACGUCGAAAGGAAGUUAGACGG